AACUCUUUGCUAUCCUUCCAAAGCCUCACCUUCUCUUGUGUUUGGUCUCCUGCAGGUCCUACGUGAUCUGUAUGGCCCUGCUACUUGUUUGGGAUGAGUGAAAGAGCCCUUCAGAUCUAAGGUGAAGGAGAGGGGCAGAGCCCCCAGAGGCACUGGCUUCAGGGUGGCCCCCAAUGUCCCCUGCUUCCUGUCAUUCCCUUCCUUGUGCAUUCUCCUCCUACACUGUAUCAGGGAAGGGUCCUGUGAAGAGGGUCACAUAGAAGGAACUGAGACCUCCUGCCCACAGUCCUAUGAGGGAGCCAUCUUGGAAGCAGACCCUCCAGCCCCAGUCAAGCCUUCAGAUGAAUGCAGUGCUGGCCAACACCUUAACUGAAGACUCGUGAGAGACUUAGCCAAAAUCACUCAUCUACACUGCUUCUGGGUUCCUGACCUUCAGAAACUGCGUUAAGAUAUAUAUAUAUAUUUGCUGUUUCAAACA